rnacentral:rRNA from 1 species
AUACGGAGGGUGCAAGCGUUAAUCGGAAUUACUGGGCGUAAAGGGUACGUAGGCGGUUAGAUAAGUUGGAUGUGAAAGCCCUGGGCUCAACCUAGGAACUGCAUUCAAAACUGUCUAACUAGAGUGUAUAAGAGGUUAGCGGAAUUCCAGGUGUAGCAGUGAAAUGCGUAGAUAUCUGGAGGAACAUCAGUGGCGAAGGCGGCUAACUGGUAUAACACUGACGCUGAGGUACGAAAGCGUGGGGAGCGAACGGGAUUAGAAACCCCGGUAGUCC